rnacentral:rRNA from 1 species
AAAACGAAGAGUUUGAUCCUGGCUCAGGAUGAACGCUGGCGGCGUGCUUAACACAUGCAAGU